rnacentral:rRNA from 1 species
UACAGAGGUCCCAAGCGUUGUUCGGAUUCACUGGGCGUAAAGGGUGCGUAGGCGGUCGGGUAAGUCUGAUGUGAAAUCUCACAGCUUAACUGUGAAACUGCAUUGGAUACUAUCCGGCUCGAAGAAUGGAGGGGAGACUGGAAUACUUGGUGUAGCAGUGAAAUGCGUAGAUAUCAAGUGGAACACCAGUGGCGAAGGCGAGUCUCUGGACAUUUCCUGACGCUGAGGCACGAAAGCCAGGGGAGCAAACGGG